rnacentral:rRNA from 1 species
UGAGUACGAGAUGCUACGGCAUCGAAGCAGUCUAUGUCAUACUUCCAAGAAAAGCUUGCAAUGUCAUAAACAAAUAAUGCCUGUACCAUAACCGACACAGGUGGGUAGGUAGAGUAUACUAGGGGGCGCGAGAUAACUCUCUCUAAGGAACUCGGCAAAAUGACUCCGUAACUUCGGGAGAAGGAGUGCCUUAUUUUUAUAAGGUUGCAAUAACAAGAUCCAAGCAACUGUUUACCAAAAACACAGGUCUCCGCUAAGUCGUAGGACGAUGUAUGGGGGCUGACGCCUGCCCAGUGCCAGAAGGUUAAAGAAGUUGGUUAGCAUUAGCGAAGCUGAUAACUGAAGCCCUGGUGAACGGCGGCCGUAACUAUAACGGUCCUAAGGUAGCGAAAUUCCUUGUCGGGUAAGUUCCGACCCGCACGAAAGGCGUAAUGAUUUGGAUACUGUCUCGGAGAGGGGCUCGGUGAAAUAGACUUGUCUGUGAAGAUGCGGACUACCUGCACCUGGACAGAAAGACCCUAUGAAGCUUUACUGUAACUUGAGAUUGAAAUUGGACUUUAUCUGCGCAGUAUAGGUGGGAGACGUUGAAAAUAUUCUUGCGGGAAUAUUGGAGUCAUCAGUGAGAUACCACUCUUAUAAUGUUAGAUUUCUAACUUUGUAUCAUUAUCUGGUCAAAGAACAGUUUCAGGCGGGCAGUUUGACUGGGGCGGUCGCCUCCCAAACGGUAACGGAGGCGCACAAAGGUUUCCUCUGAACGUGUAGAAAUCGUAUCUAGAGUGUAAAGGCAUAAGGAAGCUUGACUGUGAGACCUACAAGUCGAGCAGGGACGAAAGUCGGUCUUAGUGAUCUGACGGUGCUGAGUGGAAAGGCCGUCACUCAACGGAUAAAAGUUACUCUAGGAUAACAGGCUGAUCUCCCCCAAGAGUUCACAUCGUCGGGGAGGUUUGGCACCUCGAUGUCGGCUCAUCGCAUCCUGGGGCGGUAGUACGUCCCAAGGGUUGGGCUGUUCGCCCAUGAAAGCGGUACGCGAGCUGGGUUCAGAACGUCGUGAGACAGUUCGGUCCAUAUCCGGUGUAGGCGUUAGAAUAUUGAGAGGAGCCUUCUUUAGUACGAGAGGACCGAGAAGGACAUACCUCUGGUGUACCAGUUAUCGUGCCAACGGUAAACGCUGGGUAGCCAUGUAUGGAGAGGAUAACCGCUGAAAGCAUCUAAGUGGGAAGCCCACCUCAAGAUAAG